AUUGAACGCUGGCGGCAUGCUUUACACAUGCAAGUCGAACGGCAGCGCGGGCUUCGGCCUGGCGGCGAGUGGCGAACGGGUGAGUAAUACAUCGGAACGUGCCCAGUAGUGGGGGAUAGCUUGGCGAAAGCCGGAUUAAUACCGCAUACGACCUGAGGGUGAAAGCGGGGGAUCUUCGGACCUCGCGCUAUUGGAGCGGCCGAUGGCAGAUUAGCUAGUUGGUGGGGUAAAGGCCUACCAAGGCGACGAUCUGUAGCUGGUCUGAGAGGACGACCAGCCACACUGGGACUGAGACACGGCCCAGACUCCUACGGGAGGCAGCAGUGGGGAAUUUUGGACAAUGGGCGAAAGCCUGAUCCAGCAAUGCCGCGUGUGUGAUGAAGGCCUUCGGGUUGUAAAGCACUUUUGGCGGGAACGAAAAGGACUGUGCCAAUACCACGGUUCGAUGACGGUACCCGCAGAAUAAGCACCGGCUAACUACGUG
rnacentral:rRNA from 1 species